CCUACGGGAGGCAGCAGUGAGGAAUAUUGGUCAAUGGGAGGAAUCCUGAACCAGCCAUGCCGCGUGCAGGACGACGGCUCUACGAGUUGUAAACUGCUUUUGUACCGGGGUAAAAUGCUCUACGAGUAGGGUUUUGAAAGUACGGUACGAAUAAGGAUCGGCUAACUCCGUGCCAGCAGCCGCGGUAAUACGGAGGAUCCGAGCGUUAUCCGGAUUCAUUGGGUUUAAGGGGUGCGUAGGUUGUUUUAUAAGUUAGCGGUGAAAUACCGAUGCUCAACAUCGGGGCUGCCGCUGAUACUGUAGGACUAGAGAUCGGAUGCAGCAGGCGGAAUGUGUAGUGUAGCGGUGAAAUGCAUAGAUAUUACACAGAACACCGAUUGCGAAGGCAGCUUACUGGACUGUAACUGACGUUGAGGCUCGAAAGCGUGGGGAGCAAACAGGAUUAGAUACCCUUGUAGUC
rnacentral:rRNA from 1 species